rnacentral:rRNA from 1 species
AUGGGAGGUUUGGGGUUUAGGGACAUUGAGCUUUUCAACCUAGCGCUCUUAGCUCGCCAAGCAUGGAGAAUAAUGCAAGAACCUGGGUCGUUGAGUGCCCGUGUGUUAAAAGCCAGAUACUUCCCCAACUGUCAUCUUUUAGACGCCACCCUGGGUACAUCCCCAUCACAGGGCCUUAUCAAGCGGAUAGGAACGGGUGAAACCACGCAUAUAUGGUCUGAAAACUGGUUACCGAGGAGUUAUAAGUUGAGACCAAUCUGUGCACGGUCUGAUAACCCACCUCAGCAAGUAUCGGAGUUGAUAAAUCCGGCCACCAGAACCUGGGAUAGACAAGUGUUGCAAGAACAUUUUAUUGCGCCCGAUGUGGAAGUAAUUCUGAACAUACCAAUAAGCACAAGAGUUCAGGAAGACUUUUAUGCGUGGCAUUAUGAGAAGAGAGGGAUCUUCUCUGUGAGUUCGGCGUACAAGAUGCUAUCUGCUGUGAAGAAGCAACGAGAAGACUGGCUAGAGCAUAGAGUGAGCACAUCUGACACACAGGCAGCGAAGAAAUCAUGGUCAUCGCUUUGGAAUGUCAAGAUCCCGUCAAAAGUCCGUAUUUUUGUUUGGAGGCUGGCACAUACAUCGAUCCCGACGGGCGCGUUGAAGCAUGAGAGGAAGAUGGCAGUCUCGCCCGUGUGCUCUAUAUGCAAUGAUGCUCUUGAUACGUGGCGACACUCCCUCAUGAAUUGCCGGAUGGCGAGAUGUGUUUGGGCGUUAGGGGAUGAA